rnacentral:lncRNA from 12 species
GAGCCACCCGGGCGCCCCUGGUUAACUAUCAAAGAAUGCUGCACACGCUUGGCCUUGAGGGCUCAUCACCUGUGCCUCCUCUCUUCACUCUGCAGGGCUCCUCCUCCCCGCCCCCACCUUGGCCCUCCCCACCCCCCUUACAUUCUUACGCCCCAUUCCAGUUGUCUGUGGCCAAGCCCAUGACCUUGAGGCUUGCUCUGUGAGAUGCGAAUCCCCAAAAAGUCUCUCCCAAAGGGAAGGCCUCUGUCCGGGUCCGGGCUGGACACCUGCGUCCUCAGUCGGUGGCAGGUGGGACUCCCCAGAUCAGCCCAGCCCGGCGCCGCCAGCACCAAGCUCCGGACAAGGCGCGGCGCCGGCGCCACCCAGUGGGCGCAGCGGGAACUGAAAGCCCCGCCCCCCCCCUCCCCCCCCCCCGGCGGGCCGUGCACCCAGACAAUUAAGAGCGAUGCCUGGCGCCGAGCAUGCUCGGUAUAAGGUUGCGAUCAUUCUGUGCCAAGAACGAAUCCACUUUUCGCAAAAGAAGAAACCGCAAUGGUAGUGAUGCCCACAGGGCCGACGAAGACGAGCUUCCAGGUGUUCUCUCCUGGCCCCGGCACCUGCGGGCUCCGACCUGUGAGGGAGAAGGGACAGCAACAGAAGAGAAUGGAUUCGCAGCUCUGGCAGCGGCGCCAAGAGACCACCGUGCGGGCCGCAGUCUCAGCAGUGAUGUGGCCGUGGCUCGCCUUGGGGCCUGCCGGUGUCCCCAGCGUGGUUCCCGGCCUCCCACUGACAGUGUUUGCGAGGGUCUUCACGUCCUCUCGGUACGUCCCCUCCUGGCUGGCACCAGCUGGUCCGUGCCUGCGGCUGCCUCUGACGAUUGUCCCUCCCCGGGCUGUGCUGAGCUCCCAGCUGCUGUCUCGCUCUGCUGCCCACUAGCAGGGUUGAGAUUCUUCUCCUCCCCAUCCCUGAAGUUAGGAUUCCUGGCAUGUCCCAGUCUUGCUGUGUGACCCCUGCCAGGUCCUCACUGCUGCUUCUGAAUGUUCGUGCCCUCUGUAAAGGGGAGGGCUUCUUUCCCUGAAAGCCAGACCCAAUGGCACAGGUUCUAACAGCAACCACCAUGUUCCAGGGACAAUCUUCAGAUUUUUCUGGCUCUGAAUGAGGUUUGACAAGUCAUCAAACCUCCUAGUCUCCUUGUCCCUGGGAGUUCUCCCGACUUCACCAGACUGAGGCUGAAGUCCGACUCCCAAGGGGAUUGCAAACCUCUGAGUCAGAAAUGCGGCUGCAAGGCUAAC